GGAUAGCUCAGUCAGGAGAGUAUGAGAAUCCUUAAUCUCAGUGCUGUGGGUUCGAGCCCCACGUUGGGCA